CAUUGGAUGUAGCUGUGAAACUUCCAUGAUUGGUGCGGAAAACAGCAGAGUUGUGAAGACAACAGACAACUCCAUGACAACCCAAAGUACCACAGGGAAAUGAAAAGCUGUGGAUUCUUUCAAAGUUAAUUAAGAUUGGGUUUGACAAUGGAAGACCUCCAGAAAAUCUUGGCUGCUGAUGUGGAAAAAGAGACCCAGAAGAACAACCAAACAGACUGGUUGACGUAGAAACAGCAUUCUUCUUGGAGGAACAGGCAAAGACCCCUUCUUUAGCUGUCAAGAAAUCCAGCCCCCAUCGGUUCUGAAGCACUACAGCUGCCAAAGAAUCGAUUUGUUUCUGGAUACAAAGCGUUUAUUGCAUCUUGAAGAGGAGAGCUCAACUUGGAAUUUCUAUCGCUACAGGAUCAGAUGUGUUUGUGGCCAAGAUAGCGUGACCGAUGGCUAAAGGGCUAAAGAUCACCUGGAUAUUAAAUAGGGCAUAAGGCCCUCAG
rnacentral:lncRNA from 1 species